rnacentral:rRNA from 1 species
CGUCCUCCUGGACACCCUCCAAAACCUAGUGGCUAAUACACGGACACGCCGAAGGUCUGCUACGUGCAUGCGAGCUGCCGCCGUCGGCCUUGCGCCGCGGCGGGCAAUUCUCGGGCGGUGGAUCGCAACCAGCCGCCUGGUAAGACCAGCGCCUGGAAUUGAACGGCANCGUGCUACGUGGCUGACUCAGGCUGGCCCAGCCCCCCUUCCCUCAAAGCCGGGGGGGCUCUCCGAUGGCACUGGCAGUGUCGAGUGGGCGUCACACCCCACCAUGGCUGCAUGAUCGCACAGAGCUUCUGACCUAUCAGCUUCGUUGGUGGUGCAGCGGACCACCAUGGCGGUGACGGGUGACGGAGAAUCAGGGUUCGAUUCCGGAGAGGGAGCCUGAGAGACGGCUACCACUGCUAAGGCGGGCAGCAGGCACGCAAAUUGCCCCAUGCAGAUCCCCAUGUGAGGCAGCGACGAACCGCAGCAAUCCCGCCUGUCCUCAGUGACGAGCGGGACUUGCAAUGGAUGCAAUCCAAACACAGUGAUGAGUAUCAACUGGAGGGCAAGUCUGGUGCCAGCAGCUGCGGUAAUUCCAGCUCCAAGGGCGUAUACUAACAUUGCUGUUGUUAAAACGCUUGUAGUCCGAUGCUGGGUUGCAGGUCCGCUGGGUGGCAGUCUGGUGGUCGCACGGCCGCGCUCCGUCGAUGGGGGCUGUGGGGAUGUGGGGUGGCCUCGGUCGCCCCCGUCCUCCCAUGCACCCCUUCCCUGGGUCGCGUCGGGCGUCCCACCGGCUGGUACAACCCCCAGCGGUAUGACCCUGCGCCCGUCUUACUACGGCGGUGCGAACUGCUCCUGCUCCAAGCCUCCUUCAGUGGAGGUCGAUGCGGUUGUAUACCCAAGGCUUGUGUGUUGACAUUGCGAGGGGCGCGGCCCCGUGCCACGCAGACCAUGCCCUCGGUCCACCACCGGAGCCCACUGCCUCUGCCACCCUGGAAAACUCAGUGUGCCCAACGCAGCCCUCGCGGCUGAAUGUCCGUCCAUGGAAUGUCAAAGCAUCGACCGGAUGUUGGCUUAUGGAGUUGUGCUGGCCUUGGUGCCCAUCUCGGAGAGCGUGGCCCAGUCCCCGGCCUUGCGGAGGGCAUUGCUGCCGUCUGGCGGCGGUGUCCCACCCGCGCGGUCGGUGGGCUGUGUCGAUCGUCCACGAUGGGACAGCUCGGGGUGAAAGGUAUUGCAACGCCAGAGGUGAAAUUCUUAGACCGCUGCAAGACCACCGGCAGCGAAGGCGUUCUGCAAGUGCUCGUUCGUCGAUCAAGAAUGUGAGUGCGGGGAGCGAAGAUGAUCAGACACCGUCGUAGUCCGCUACUGUAAACCAUACCAGCUCGGUGCCGAUGGGGCAAGUACAACGGACCCCACCGGCGCCAGCCCCCCUACAACGAGAAAUCCAAGCCCAUGGGUUCAAGGGGGAGUACUGUCGCAAGGCUGAAACUUAAAGGAAUUGACGGAAUGGCACCACAAGGCGUGGAGUAUGCGGCUUAAUUUGACUCAACGCGGGGAAUGUUACCAGGUCCGGACGUUGCUGGGAUGGACAGAUUGAGAGCUCUUUCUUGAUCCUUCGGAUGGUGGUGCAUGGCCGCUCCUGAUUGGUGGAGUGAUUUGUCUGGUUGAUUCCGAUAACGAGUGAGACAUCUGCCUCCCAAUAGCCCCCGCCUCGCACUGGUAGGGCGGCCGCGGCGUCUCGCCACCGGGUGUCCGGUCCGCAGGGGGUUCGCCCCCUGCGCCCGCGCCCGACUGGCCGCCNCGGUCCGCCCGAGAGGCUCUCGGGAUCAGCUUCUCUGAGGUGCUGUGUACGCUACCAAGUGCAUGCAUGCUAGAGCCAACAGCAGGUCUGUGAUGCUCCCAGAUGUCCUGGGCCGCACGCGCACUACAUUGGUCUGGCGAACGAGUGCCGCUCGCCACCUGGCGAGCCCCGCCUGGAAGUGGGUGGGAAACCCGGAAGCCACGCGCAUGGCCGUACUGGGGAUAGAUGAUUGCAACUGUCUGCCUUGAACGAGGAAUGCCUAGUAGGCGCGGGUCAUCAGCCCGCACCGA